rnacentral:rRNA from 1 species
AUUCGCUAGUAAUCGCGCAUCAGCCAUGGCGCGGUGAAUACGUUCCCGGGCCUUGUACACACCGCCCGUCAAACCAUGAGAGUUGGCAACACCCGAAGUCGGUAGUCUAACCGCAAGGAGGACGCCGCCGAAGGUGGGGUUGAUGAUUAGGGUUAAGUCGUAACAAGGUACC